rnacentral:rRNA from 1 species
CCUACGGGAGGCAGCAGUGGGGAAUAUUGGGCAAUGGAGGAAACUCUGACCCAGCGACGCCGCGUGCGGGAUGAAGGCCUUCGGGUUGUAAACCGCUUUCAGUAGGGAAGAAGCGAAAGUGACGGUACCUACAGAAGAAGCACCGGCUAACUAUGUGCCAGCAGCCGCGGUAAUACAUAGGGUGCAAGCGUUGUCCGGAAUUAUUGGGCGUAAAGAGCUCGUAGGUGGUUCGUCACGUCGGAUGUGAAAAUCUGGGGCUCAACCCCAGACCUGCAUUCGAUACGGGCGAUCUAGAGUGUGGUAGGGGAGACUGGAAUUCCUGGUGUAGCGGUGGAAUGCGCAGAUAUCAGGAGGAACACCAAUGGCGAAGGCAGGUCUCUGGGCCAUUACUGACACUGAGGAGCGAAAGCGUGGGGAGCGAACAGGAUUAGAUACCCUGGUAGUCCACGCCGUAAACGGUGGGCACUAGUUGUGGGAACCUUCCACGGUUUCUGCGACGCAGCUAACGCAUUAAGUGCCCCGCCUGGGGAGUACGAGUCGCAAGNUUAAAACUCAAAGGAAUUGAGG